CUGACUGGCUACACGCGCCGGCAGGUUAAGUUUCUGAUACCAGGAGUGUGCGCCGUUAAUAAGGUUGAAAGAUACGAUGACACAUUUCCCCCAAACUAUGAGCUUCUUGUUAAAGAUAGUAUGCUGGAUGGACCUCCCCGAAUUUGCCUUAAAAGGUAUCAGAAGUUCGUGAACCAAACAGGCAGACCCAGCAAGCCUGUAUAUAACAAAGAGUGCGAAAGAAACUUAAAAGUAAUCAGAAGAAAUACCAGUCAUUUCUGGAUGUUCUGAUAAAAGGAGCCAUACUCUUCAAAAAUAUGAAGAAUAAAUAUUACCAUGCAAAACUA